rnacentral:rRNA from 1 species
UAGAGUUUGAUCCUGGCUCAGAUUGAACGCUGGCGGCAUGCCUAACACAUGCGAGUCGCACGCGAAAGGGGGCAACCCCGAGUAGAGUGGCGGACGGGUGAGUAACGCGUAGGAAUCUACCUCGUAGUGGGGGACAACCCGGCGAAAGCCGGGCUAAUACCGCAUACGAUCCACGGAUGAAAGCAGGGGACCGCAAGGCCUUGCGCUAUGAGAUGAGCCUGCGUCGGAUUAGCUAGUUGGUGAGGUAACGGCUCACCAAGGCGACGAUCCGUAGCUGGUUUGAGAGAACGACCAGCCACACCGGAACUGAGACACGGUCCGGACUCCUACGGGAGGCAGCAGUGGGGAAUAUUGGACAAUGGGGGCAACCCUGAUCCAGCAAUGCCGCGUGUGUGAAGAAGGCCUUCGGGUUGUAAAGCACUUUCGGUGGGGACAAACAAGGCGGAGCUAACAUCUCCGUCCCUGAUGGUACCCAAAGAAGAAGCACCGGCUAACUCUGUGCCAGCAGCCCCGGUCA